rnacentral:lncRNA from 1 species
GAAUGAAUCAGUUUUAAAAUUUUAUUCAUGUCCAUUGCAAAAAUACAGGUGAAUGAAACUUAACACAGAACAAGUCAAAAGCCAGUUGUACAACAAAUUUUACAGACCACACGUUACAUCUAGCUCAUCCAUUACAGGUCUCUGCACAACCUGCCUCACUGUAAAGGUUCUGACUCAGAAGUCUGACAAAUCUUCCUCCAUGGAAAGUAAAUUCUUCAAGGCUUCACCUGCUCUGCAAGACCUGACCCAAAUAUCAAGGAAUAGACAGGUUUUGAAAGGUGCUGUUCAACAAGGAAGGAAAGCCCUUCUGAUCAAGCUGAGCCCUCCAGGGUGGAACCCUUCUGCUGCCAGCAGGUGAAUUCUCUCCUGGAAGUGUUCUUCCAGUCUCUUCAGAGUGAGCCACCACACCAAGGACAGCCCCUUGUGCUGGUUAAUUGCGUUGUGACAAGCUUGUAUUUUGAUGACGUUAUCAAGGUAAACACAAUGGCUGGAGAUUUUUCCUUUUCUUUAUCUUGUAGUCAAGUUUGAGGAAGCCUAUUUAAAAACCUUGGUUGUUUUCUUUGCUUCCCCCCUGUUAAGGGAGAAAUGUGCGUCCCCUUUGGGACAUGUUGUGGGGGGAUGGAUAUCUUGCU